UUUUUUUUUGUUUUGUUGAGUUUUAUUUGUUAGAUUUUUAGGUGUUAUCUUCCACAACAUCAUCGUCAUUUUUCGAAUCCCUCUUACUUGCAAUCUCCCCAUCAACAGUACCGUCCUAAUGAUCAGGAAAAAAAUGUUUACUAUUAUUGAGGCAAGGCAAUCCACACAGUCAAGCAUUUUAUAUGCAUCAAGAUAAAUGUAACUCUAGAUGCAAGAACAUGUCACCUCUCCCGAUCUUUUCUUUAACAUUUGUCUUUUAACAUUUUCCUCAGAAAUUCGCAAAAACAUGUCUAACAUUUUCCGCACAAAUUCAUUUGCGAGUGAUCGUCUUUCUCCAACUCUGUGGAAUUUCAAAAGAGUUUUUAUAUUCAGUAGUAACAUAUAUCAAAACAUCUACAACUUAAGAAUCUAAAAUAAUUUUUAUACAUACUUUGUUUUUCUUAUAUAAUAGUAAUACCUCAUUGGUUUUCUUUUAUGGUUCUUCUAAUUUGAUUUAGAAUGCACUUGCACCCCCAACCAUGACGUCAAGAUCAGUAUCUAAUAAAUUUAAUAUUGUAUAUUCUUUGUUCCUGUAUAUAAUCAAUCUGUUUCUUUUAGUUGAAACACGUACGAAGACCUUUGAGAUUCUUGAGUUGAGGAGGAAUCUCAGACGUUGAAUCACCGCUUGGGCUAUCAGCUGAGAUGAAGGAACAUGUCUUUCCUUAGGCAUCGCUAGUAAACUAAAGCAUAUCAGAGAAAAGUUAUUAUAAUCUCGAUGGGAAUACCUGGUAGUAGGAAAAACUGAGUUCAUGUUGCAUAAAUUGUAGCGAAAAAGUAAGAAUAAGCUUCUUCUUACAAACCUCGCCUGUAAAGUAAAACCAUCCGCAUUUAUUUUUUGAAUUCAUGUGAUGGUAGCACGAACAGUCACAACAAUAUAAUUGUCCACUUACUUU